UACAGAGGUCUCAAGCGUUAUUCGGAAUUACUGGGCGUAAAGCGCACGUAGGCGGCUUUGUAAGUAAGAGGUGAAAGCCUGGAGCUCAACUCCAGAACUGCCUUUUAGACUGCAUCGCUUGAAUCCAGGAGAGGUGAGUGGAAUUCCGAGUGUAGAGGUGAAAUUCGUAGAUAUUCGGAAGAACACCAGUGGCGAAGGCGGCUCACUGGACUGGUAUUGACGCUGAGGUGCGAAAGCGUGGGGAGCAAACAGG
rnacentral:rRNA from 1 species